CGCUCUCCAGUGACAGCAGUGUUCUGGCCUGGGUCAUGUCAGGCCUGGACUACAUAGCACACAUUGUGCAGCAGAGCGGAGCAACUGGAGUGAAAGUUGUCUCACACUUGGCUUCAGUUUGGUCCUUCUAGAGACCCACUCUGGGACCAAACAGGCCAAUAACAUGCUGGGCGAACACCUCCACAUAGCGUCAGAGAGUCUGAGCAGUGAGAGGAAGUAUCUGCUGAACCGUGUGUCCCAGCUGAG